rnacentral:rRNA from 1 species
UACGGGGGGUGCGAGCGUUGUCCGGAAUCACUGGGCGUAAAGGGCGCGUAGGUGGUCUGAUAAGGGUGUGGUGAAAGCCCGGGGCUCAACCCCGGGUCGGCCGUGCCGACUGUUAGACUAGAGUACUGUAGGGGCAGGCGGAAUUCCGGGUGUAGCGGUGGAAUGCGUAGAGAUCCGGAGGAAGACCGGUGGCGAAGGCGGGUCUCUGGGCAGUAACUGACGCUGAGGAGCGAAAGCGUGGGGAGCGAACAGG